AUUGAACGCUGGCGGCAGGCUUAACACAUGCAAGUCGAGCGGAGAGAGGUAGCUUGCUACCGAUCUUAGCGGCGGACGGGUGAGUAAUGCUUAGGAAUCUGCCUAUUAGUGGGGGACAACAUUUCGAAAGGAAUGCUAAUACCGCAUACGUCCUACGGGAGAAAGCAGGGGAUCUUCGGACCUUGCGCUAAUAGAUGAGCCUAAGUCGGAUUAGCUAGUUGGUGGGGUAAAGGCCUACCAAGGCGACGAUCUGUAGCGGGUCUGAGAGGAUGAGCCGCCACACUGGGACUGAGACACGGCCCAGACUCCUACGGGAGGCAGCAGUGGGGAAUAUUGGACAAUGGGCGCAAGCCUGAUCCAGCCAUGCCGCGUGUGUGAAGGAGGCCUUAUGGUUGUAAAGCACUUUAAGCGAGGAGGAGGCUACUUUAGUUAAUACCUAGAGAUAGUGGACGUUACUCGCAGAAUAAGCACCGGCUAACUCUGUGCCAGCCGCCGCGGUAAGAC
rnacentral:rRNA from 1 species